rnacentral:rRNA from 1 species
CACACGUGUUACAAUGGCAGGUACAGAGGGGUGCUACCGGGUGACCGGAUGCCGAUCUCGAAAACCUGUCCCAGUUCGGACUGGAGUCUGCAACCCGACUCCACGAAGUUGGAUUCGCUAGUAAUCGCGCAUCAGCCAUGGCGCGGUGAAUACGUUCCCGGGCCUUGUACACACCGCCCGUCAAGCCAUGGGAGCCGGGGGCGCCUGAAGUCCGGGACCGCGAGGACCGGCCUAAGGCGAAACUGGUGACUGGGGCUAAGUCGUAACAAGGUACC